rnacentral:tRNA from 1 species
AGAGAGUUGGGUGAGUGGCUUAAACCAGCAGUUUGCUAAACUGUCGUACGUGUCAAAGCGUACCGGGGGUUCGAAUCCCCCACUCUCUGCGA